GAUGAACGCUGACAGAAUGCUUAACACAUGCAAGUCGAGCGGGGAAGGGUAGCUUGCUACCUGACCUAGCGGCGGACGGGUGAGUAAUGCUUAGGAAUCUGCCUAUUAGUGGGGGACAACAUUCCGAAAGGAAUGCUAAUACCGCAUACGCCCUACGGGGGAAAGCAGGGGAUCUUCGGACCUUGCGCUAAUAGAUGAGCCUAAGUCAGAUUAGCUAGUUGGUGGGGUAAAGGCCUACCAAGGCGACGAUCUGUAGCGGGUCUGAGAGGAUGAUCCGCCACACUGGGACUGAGACACGGCCCAGACUCCUACGGGAGGCAGCAGUGGGGAAUAUUGGACAAUGGGCGCAAGCCUGAUCCAGCCAUGCCGCGUGUGUGAAGAAGGCCUUUUGGUUGCAAAGCACUUUAAGCGAGGAGGAGGCUACUUGGAUUAAUACUCUAGGAUAGUGGACGUUACUCGCAGAAUAAGCACCGGCUAACUCUGUGCCAGCAGCCGCGGUAAUACAGAGGGUGCGAGCGUUAAUCGGAUUUACUGGGCGUAAAGCGUGCGUAGGCGGCUUUUUAAGUCGGAUGUGAAAUCCCUGAGCUUAACUUAGGAAUUGCAUUCGAUACUGGGAAGCUAGAGUAUGGGAGAGGAUGGUAGAAUUCCAGGUGUAGCGGUGAAAUGCGUAGAGAUCUGGAGGAAUACCGAUGGCGAAGGCAGCCAUCUGGCCUAAUACUGACGCUGAGGUACGAAAGCAUGGGGAGCAAACAGG
rnacentral:rRNA from 1 species